AUACAGCUCUCUGCGCGAUUUUCAUGUCAGCCGACGGGAACCUCUUGUCUUGGUGUUCCGCCUGGAAUCUGUAUGUUGUAAAAAUCCUCUAUAAUCGUAAUGAAUAUUGACUAUGGCUCAUACAUUCCCAUCUUGGUGAUUUCGUCCAACGUUACUGCAACCAAAGCAUCUUUCGUGUAGCCGUAUGUUUUCGGUGGGCCGAUUCCAGUUUUUACAAUUUCCAGACGACAACUGCGGGAAAGACCGCGGCGGUUGGGUUGUGCACUGAUACCAAGUACCGUCGGAUAUCCGAAUAGCGCUGCACUCUGUCCAUGGCGGCCGUUGUCAAGUCACAAGUGGAUUAUGACGAAUAUACACUGCAACCAGAGUGCCUUCGUGAGGCAGUCUAUUUGCACUGUUAUGCUUGGAUGAGUUUUCCGCGUCUUUGUGUGGAAUUUUUGCAGUAGAUUAGAGACGUUCAAAAGCAUACUAAUCGAAGACAAAAGUGCAUUUCAUGCCCAAGCAUCUGGAAACUCUUGGCAGUUGCGGGUGUAGCGUUUGCUUUUGCAGUAUAUUAUGUCCGCGAGAUUGGUGGUACUAUUAUUUGGAAUCCGUUUGGAAAUGGAGCAGUUAUUGUGAUUAUUUUGGUGCACUUCGAUUCCUGUAGACGCCGGGCGCAGACUGAUGACACAAGAAAGCCAUACCGACGUGUGAAGGCUUUUUCUGUACCCGAAUACCUGUAUUUCAAAAACAGUCUAGAAAUUCUUCCGGGAAAAUUGUUAUGAGACAUUAACUGAGCGAGUAUUCGGGACACUUGUGGCGCAGUAACCACAGUUUUACGAUGUGUUUGAUUCACGGAUGGAUAAUAUAAACAGCAGAUCGGAUGGCGCUGCGCAGCAGUCAGGUAUCGACACCGGGAUCCUUUCCUGUCGAGGGUCAGCAACCUGGCGUCAGUUUAUGACUGACGGCAGACUACUGGUUUUCGGAAGAACUCCUCUAGACCCACUUAUUGUACACCAUGUCCAGCAUGCGCAGGAAGUGAUUUGUUUGGAUACUGUACCUUGAGGCUUGAUGUGCCCAGGCGGAUGCUGUCUGCACUUUUCUGUAUGGCGAAGCGGAAUCAUCAAGAUAAUAGAACGACGCACGCGAGGUCAGAAAUUCAGAAUAACCUUCCAAGUGUGCCCAGUAUUAAGAGCGUUUCUUGGGUACUGCCAAUCGUGUGAAUCGGAUCGCCCGGUAGUUUGUCUGGGUCUCUCCUUUUAACUCAAACGAGUAGCCUGUUCGCAAAACGUUUUAAAAGCGACUAAGUUGGACACCAAAACAUCAUUCUGCGAACUGAUUAUGUCUUCGAAUACAAAGUGAGCGUUCCCAGCAGUCACGCUCUUCGUCCGCAUCGAUCGUCUACUGACAUCAUGCCGCUCUUUUAACUGAGCACCAACCUUUCCAGAUCGAUUUCCCCGCACACUUCCACGAAAAUUUAACAAAGACGCUGGACAACUGCUGCAGAAGGAUCCCAAGCACCUCUCGGUGUGCGUCAGCACCGAUCAGUUCCUGACGUGCGGCCGCACCACGGAAGCCUGCGCGUUCGGCAACCUGGCGUCCAGCGGGAACUUUAUUGGGAAGCACAACGAAGCGUACAUCGCAGCAGAGCGAAUUGGUCCACAAAAAGCUAGGAAUCGAUGACGCGUGGUUUACGCUGUUCUUCAGCAAUUAUCCUGCGAACGAAAUGGGUUUCAACGGCACCACGAUCGACAGCUUCAGGAAGAAGUCGCAGAUAGCACCCGCUACCUAAUAAUUAUUGGCCCCUAGCUGUACUGCCAAUUCUGCUGGAUUCUUCUGGAUUUGCACAGCCUAAUUAAGUUGUGUCAACCGCCAUGCUUUUCGUAUUCAGCACAGCCAUUUCGGGCCAGGCAUUUCUACUACACUCUCGGGUUCCGCGCAUGGCGAAUACUGCCUGGCUGCAAUUUAAAACGAACUGCCGACGCCCGUAUGGAAGGCGCCUUCUCGAACUACUGUACAGUACAAUCUUUGUGGUUCAGUAUUGUUUGCAUCCGCCUGUGAUUUAUUGUGCACUGUAAACCUCGCUGCUUAGAUUUUUCUGAUUGUUUGUAUCCAACACUACCACGAAAUUCUAAGACAGCAAUAAUUUUCCUUCAAAAAACAAUACUGUCUUCGAGUGAAGAUGUCUGUGUUACAAAUGU